GACGAACGCUGGCGGCGUGCCUAAUACAUGCAAGUCGAGCGCUGAAGGUUGGUACUUGUACCUCCUGGAUGAGCAGCGAACGGGUGAGUAACGCGUGGGUAAUCUGCCUUUGAGCGGGGGACAACAUCUGGAAACGAAUGCUAAUACCGCAUAAAAACUUUAAACACAUGUUUUAAGUUUGAAAGACGCAAUUGCAUCACCCAAAGAUUAUCCCGCGUUGUAUUAGCUAGGUGGUGAGGUAAAGGCUCACCAAGGCGAUGAUACAUAGCCGACCUGAGAGGGUGAUCGGCCACAUUGGGACUGAGACACGGCCCAAACUCCUACGGGAGGGAGCAGGAGGGAAUCUUCGGCAAUGGACGAAAGUCUGACCGAGCAACGCCGCGGGAGUGAAGAAGGGUUUCGGAUCGUAAAAAUCUGUUGGUAGGGAAGAACGUUGGUGGGAGUGGAAAGCUCAUCAAGUGACGGUAACUACCCAGAAAGGGACGGCUAACUACGUG
rnacentral:rRNA from 1 species